rnacentral:rRNA from 1 species
AAGACGCCUUGCUUUUCACUUUCUAUCAGACAAUCUGUGUGAGCACUGCAAAGAACGCUUCUUUAACGUAAGGAGGUGAUCCAACCGCAGGUUCCCCUACGGUUACCUUGUUACGACUUCACCCCAGUCAUGAAUCACAAGUGGUAAGCGCCCUCCCGAGGUUAAGCUACCUACUUCUUUGCACCCACUCCCAUGUGUGACGGGCGUGUGUACAA